rnacentral:miRNA from 1 species
UUCUUCUUCUUCUUCUUCUUCUACAACUGAGAACAUGAGGUCAAAAGGCUUCAUAAAGUAUUUACCAGUGAAAGGUAAUGAGAGCUCCAGUUAUUCAAGAUACCUUUGUCAGGGCUUGGACUACCAGCAAUCGGCGUUUUCUGUCAA